rnacentral:rRNA from 1 species
CACGAGGAAUUCCGUCGGAAUCUGGGAGGACCAUCUCCCAAGGCUAAAUACUCCCUAGUGACCGAUAGUGAACCAGUACCGUGAGGGAAAGGUGAAAAGCACCCCGGAAGGGGAGUGAAAUAGAACCUGAAACCGUGUGCCUACAACAAGUCAAAGCCCGUUAAUGGGUGAUGGCGUGCCUUUUGUAGAAUGAACCGGCGAGUUACGAUUGCAUGCGAGGUUAAGUUGAAGAGACGGAGCCGCAGCGAAAGCGAGUCUGAAUAGGGCGUUUGAGUAUGUAGUCGUAGACCCGAAACCAUGUGAUCUACCCAUGUCCAGGUUGAAGGUGCGGUAAAACGCACUGGAGGACCGAACCCACGUACGUUGAAAAGUGCGGGGAUGAGGUGUGGGUAGCGGAGAAAUUCCAAACGAACUUGGAGAUAGCUGGUUCUCUCCGAAAUAGCUUUAGGGCUAGCCUCGGAAUUGAGAAUGAUGGAGGUAGAGCACUGUUUGGACUAGGGGCCCAUCUCGGGUUACCGAAUUCAGAUAAACUCCGAAUGCCAUUCAUUCAUAUCCGGGAGUCAGACUGUGAGUGAUAAGAUCCAUAGUCGAAAGGGAAACAGCCCAGACCACCAGCUAAGGUCCCAAAAUAUAUGUUAAGUGGAAAAGGAUGUGGGGUUGCACAGACAACUAGGAUGUUGGCUUAGAAGCAGCCACCAUUUAAAGAGUGCGUAAUAGCUCACUAGUCGAGUGACCCUGCGCCGAAAAUGUACCGGGGCUAAACAUAUUACCGAAGCUGUGGAGUACACCUUUAGGUGUAUUGGUAGGAGAGCGUUCUAAGGGCGUUGAAGGCAGAUCGUGAGGACUGCUGGAGCGCUUAGAAGUGAGAAUGCCGGUAUGAGUAGCGAAAGACAGGUGAGAAUCCUGUCCACCGAAUGACUAAGGUUUCCUGGGGAAGGCUCGUCCGCCCAGGGUUAGUCGGGACCUAAGCCGAGGCCGACAGGCGUAGGCGAUGGACAACAGGUUGAUAUUCCUGUACUCGUUGUUUUUGUUUGAGCAAUGGAGGGACGCAGGAGGCUAAGGAAUGCAGACGAUUGGAAAUGUCUGUCUAAGCAGUAAGUCU